GCACAUCUCUUCACGCGGCAGGGUGAACGCAACCCUAGAGCCCUCAUCAUUCCUUCCAUCCACUCCCCAAUGCAUCCUCCUCAUCCCCAGCCGGCGGCUCGACCUCUCGUGCCCUCGCCGCCAUCAACCUCUCCUGCACUCACACGCCAGCCGCCGAUCUCCCGCGCCCUCACCCAUUAGCAGCCGAAGUCGCUCUCCCCCGCAAGUCGCCGUGCUCGGGAUUUAUGGCUGCUCCUUCGCCUCGCCCAUCUAGAUCCGCCAUCGCCUCCCUCCCUUGCUGAUGUUCAUCUUAUCUAUUUAUGCAGGGGGCUCGUCCUUCCGUGGUGCUCAGCCACCGUCCGGUUUGGAGGGGGAAUAGGAGACCCCCAACGAAAACGAGUGUGCUAGCGGUGGACACAAGGAUGCGCGGUGAUUGUGCCAGGUCCAUGCUCCAGUUCUUCUGUUGGAACUAGGAGGUGCAGAUAAAUAAGAGUUGUUGGCAGCAGCAACCUACACAUGUGGAAACAGUGGUUAUGGCAGCUCAAAGGGAAGUUCUGUCUGCUAGACAGCAACUCACAACUUAGUGGCGGCUCAAUGUACAUAUAAUCUAUUUCUUCUUGGAGCUAUCUACUAUCAUAUUAUGACUUGGUGCUAUCUGAAGCUUCUAUUUUCUCACCUUUUUUGGCGGCGAUUAUCCCUUAGACUGCAGUAGUUUUUCUAGGUGCCAUUAUAAGUGUAGGUAUUCUACAGUUAAGCCUCUCGCGUUGCAAAAAGCUACAUUCCAUUGUUUUUCUACAUGCCAUUGUAAGUGUAGGUUUUCUACUGGCUUCAACAUAGAUAAUUAGCAUGCGAGAGGCUUAACUGUAGCUUUUUGCAAUGCUAGACGGACAUAUUCAGUACUGAAAAUCUAGACUGUUCUUUCUACUCUGUAACAACUUCUAUGCUUGCGCCACCAUGAUAUCACUACAACAUUUCCCUGUAAAAUUUUAGUAGUUGCAUGUAAACUGAAUUGAUUUACCAGUAAAAAUCUGGACAGCUCAUUCCAGUCGAUAAUAACCAUUGUGGCAUUACCAUGAUAUGUCAUGUAUUUGCUCCGAGUCGUAGUAUGUUGCAGAAAGUAUAAUAAGAGAUAGAAUGUAUGCACUAUGGCGAAUGUAUGCACUAUGGCUAGCAGUAACAUAUUAUUGACUUGCACAGCAUUUGAUCUAUCUAUUUCUGCAGGCUAUUCCUCAUGUUGCAACCUUUUCCUGUAGAAUCAAAAGGAGUUAGAUGGAAGAAAUUGCAGGAGAGCAGGAAUGGUAUUCCCGGCGUGACAUUCAAAAGCAGUCAAGAUGGUGAGGUUUAGAACGGAGGAGCUCCGCGGAAUUAUGGAUAGAAAAUAUCCAUAACAUGUCUGUCAUUGCCAUGUCGACCGUGCCCUUUGAUUCUACAAGCCGCAAAGGAGCAAAGUGUAGAAAAUAUGUCCAUUGUUGUUGAAUUGGAGGGAUUGUCACCAAGUUAGUGCUUCAGAUUGUUUCUAUUUUAGAGCAAGAAGCCAAAUCAUGUUGUUCAUUGUAAAUCUUCAAAAACCUGAUUAUUGUCACUGUUAUAUCUGUUAUAAACUUUUGUUCGUGA